rnacentral:rRNA from 1 species
UACGUAGGGUGCAAGCGUUGUCCGGAAUUAUUGGGCGUAAAGAGCUCGUAGGCGGUUUGUCACGUCGGAUGUGAAACCCUGAGGCUCAACCUCAGGCCUGCAUUCGAUACGGGCAGACUAGAAUUCGGCAGGGGAGACUGGAAUUCCUGGUGUAGCGGUGAAAUGCGCAGAUAUCAGGAGGAACACCGGUGGCGAAGGCGGGUUACUGGGCUGAUACUGACGCUGAUGCGCGAAAGCCAGGGGAGCAAACGGG